rnacentral:rRNA from 1 species
UAAAGCGAUUCAGCGGGUUACGAUUGACGGAGCGAAGCGACGUCAAAGCGUAUACAAAGUCGAGUCGGUUUAAGGAUACGUUCGUUGGGUAGGGGAGCGUUCUGUAAGCCUGUGAAGGUGGCCUGUGAGGGUUGCUGGAGGUAUCAGAAGUGCGAAUGCUGACAUAAGUAACGAUAAAGCGGGUGAAAAGCCCGCUCGCCGGAAGACCAAGGGUUCCUGUCCAACGUUAAUCGGGGCAGGGUGAGUCGACCCCUAAGGCGAGGCCGAAAGGCGUAGUCGAUGGGAAACGGGUUAAUAUUCCCGUACUUGGUGUUACUGCGAAGGGGGGACGGAGAAGGCUAUGUUGGCCGGGCGACGGUUGUCCCGGUUUAAGCGUGUAGGUGUGUGUUCCAGGUAAAUCCGGUUCACUUUAACACUGAGGCGUGAUGACGAGGCACUACGGUGCUGAAGCAACAAAUGCCCUGCUUCCAGGAAAAGCCUCUAAGCAUCAGGUAACAUCAAAUCGUACCCCAAACCGACACAGGUGGUCAGGUAGAGAAUACCAAGGCGCUUGAGAGAACUCGGGUGAAGGAACUAGGCAAAAUGGUGCCGUAACUUCGGGAGAAGGCACGCUGACACGUAGGUGAAGUGAUUUACUCAUGGAGCUGAAGUCAGUCGAAGAUACCAGCUGGCUGCAACUGUUUAUUAAAAACACAGCACUGUGCAAACACGAAAGUGGACGUAUACGGUGUGACGCCUGCCCGGUGCCGGAAGGUUAAUUGAUGGGGUCAGCGCAAGCGAAGCUCCUGAUCGAAGCCCCGGUAAACGGCGGCCGUAACUAUAACGGUCCUAAGGUAGCGAAAUUCCUUGUCGGGUAAGUUCCGACCUGCACGAAUGGCGUAAUGAUGGCCAGGCUGUCUCCACCCGAGACUCAGUGAAAUUGAACUCGCUGUGAAGAUGCAGUGUACCCGCGGCAAGACGGAAAGACCCCGUGAACCUUUACUAUAGCUUGACACUGAACAUUGAGCCUUGAUGUGUAG